CAAAAUCCUGGCCGUACGAUUAAAUCUCGCUUCUCUCUUGUUAAUUGCAGAGCCGUUGGCUAACCUUUAUGAUGCAUGUGAAAACCCUAGGGACCAAAAUGCUUCGCCGUUUCCUACUUUGUGCCUCUGCUGUCUCUACGUCUCUGCUGAAUGUAUAAUUUUUUAAAAAUAAGUUCAGAUAAGUGGUAAACUUUAUGAACAUUAAUAAUUAAAGUCAUAAUUUUUUCCAUGAAUCUGUAAUUAUUUUGUGAAAGAGCCACUGAAUUGUAAUUUCCACUUGUUCCCAGAUUUCCAAGUUUUGAAUCUGAAGCUGCUAGCCAAUGAUGACAAAUUGUAAAUUGACCGAAAUGCAAGUUUUUAAUAUUUGCUGUGGUGUUGAAAUUCUUGAACUAGGACGGUCUGAGGCUUUUGCACCUUGCAGUACAUUUGUAUUAUGCAUUUGUUUAUUUGUCAUUCGUAUCACUUUGUAUAUUUGUAUUUAUCGAUUAAAUUAAGUGAACAUGAAACAUUUGAAAUUGGUUUUCGUUUUUAUUUUAUGAUAGAAAAGUUUCAAAACUUUAAUGGAAAUAAAUAGCUCCCAUUGGUGUCCCUUUUGUCUUGUAAAACAUUUGGCUUCUUAAUUUUGUUGCUUAUAUAUUUCUCUAGUGUUUGUGGAUGAUGAUAAAAAAAAACAUCACAGUUAUCCCUGUCUGAUAUAUUUGUGCUGACCUUUUGUUAUCUGACACAAACACUAUAUUUUAGUUUG